AAGUCACACAACCGAUAAAACAAUUUUCAAAAAAAUUCUAGAAAGGAAGUAUUGGAGGAUAAAGAUGUUUUCCUACAUUUUAAAUUGUGUUAGUUCUAUAAAAAGUUUCGUAAAUAUUUGGUUUAGUAAGUCGGAGCGAUUAUUUUGGGGUUUUUGUAUGUUAAAAGGACAGAUGCGUUACAGACAGACAAUUUGAUCACACUUAUAUUCGAAGAAGAAGAAAAUUACAAAUUUGAUCAAAGUUAAAUGUUUAGCGUGAAAUUUUUGUUUAGUAAAAAUUAAACGAUUCCUUUUCCUACAAUUUUCUACAUUACGGAAAAGUUCAGAGCCAUUGUUUUUUUAUUUUAUAUGAAUUCAGAUUUAAAUAGAAAAGCGCUAAAAAACGAAAUGGAUAAUGAUCAAAGUUUUAUUUUAUAGAGACUACUAACAACAUAAAAUAUCAAAUUUCUCUGCAAUCUCAAAGUUAUUCCAUAUUUUUCAUUUGUAUGUAAACGCAAUGAAAAAAUCUAAAUGUUAUAUAAAACUAAUAGAAAUGAACAAAACACACUAUCAUAAAUCAAUUAAAUUCACGUUCUUAAGAAUGAAAAUAGUAAUAUAAAUCUAUAAUUUGUGCUUAUCAAAAUGAGAAACGCUCAAGCUUUAUCAGGUAUUCCUUAAAAUCAAUUAUUACACAAUAAAUCAAAAUCUUGCAAUAAUUACUAUCUUUACAACAACCAGACAUGACCUAAAUUUGACUCUUUGGAAUCAAAUGAACCAUUCUACAAGUAAAAUAUAUUUAUGAAAAGCGAUUAGAAUAGUAGGCUAAUUUAACUUUAUAUAUAUUUUGUCAGCUAUGUAAAGGAUUAUUGUCAAAAUUUUUAUCAAAUCAUCCGGCCUAAUUUUGGUAAGAAGCAUAAGGAUAUGUUUCAUAUUAUGCAGUAUAUUGUUAUGCUUCUUAUCAAAAUUGAUUUUAUUUACUUAAAAGAUUAACAGAUGGGUAUUUGACUUGAAUGCUUCUUGCUUUUCACUUCCGAAUAAUUUUUUCACUCGAUCAUCAGAGGUCAUAUUAGGUUCAUGGAGAAAAAAUGGCUGUUGGGACCCGGAAGGUGUCCCCG